rnacentral:rRNA from 1 species
CAGCAGCCGCGGUAAUACAUAGACCUCAAGCGUUAUCCGGAUUUACUGGGCGUAAAGCGUGCGCAGGCGUCCUGUUAAGUCUUCAGUGAAAUCCCCCGGCUCAACUGGGGAAUUGUUGGAGAUACUGGCAGGAUUGAGUGUGACAGAGGCAGAUGGAAUUCCUGGUGUAGCGGUAAAAUGCGUUGAUAUCAGGAGGAACACCAAUGGCGAAGGCAAUCUGCUGGGUCACUACUGACGCUCAGGCACGAAAGCGUGGGGAGCGAACGGGAUUAGAUACCCCGGUAGUCCACGCCGUAAACGAUGGGUGCUAGGCAUUCGGGGAUUAGACCCCCUGGGUGUCGUAGCUAACGCGUUAAGCACCCCGCCUGGGGAGUACGGUCGCAAGACUAAAACUCAAAGGAAUUGACGG